rnacentral:sRNA from 1 species
CCCCCCCCCCAACCCACUUCUCUCCCAUCUGCUUAUAAUUUAAUGCUGUGUGUUUUAAUCAUCUCAUUAGGCAUGUCCUUAUUUUGAAAUGCAACUAAUUCUUCAGUUCAAACAAACAACCCGUGAUCUAAAAAUGAGACCAUUCUUUACUCUGGGCUCCAGGUUGGCUCAGAAAAAAAAAAAAAAAAUCACACCUAUUUUAAGGAGAGUGAAGGAGAAAAACGCUCCUGGUUGGUUGGUUGGUUUGUUGGUUGGUUGGUUUGUUCUAAGCCACUGACUUUUAGUAGACAUGUUUCAGAGAACUUUCAAAAUCAACUUGAAGAUGUUUUGUCACACAUUUCCCCCCUGAAUAUUUCUAUAAGAUCUGUUUGUUAUUAUUAAUGCUUAUCGGAAGGCGGGUUUAGAAAUAAUGCCAUAAUUUUGUAUUUGAUGACAACAAACACAAAAGAAAAAACUGCUUCCACUGUAACUUUGUCCCUUUCAGUCGUUUCUGUAUAGGAGUUUACAUGUAUAUAAGCUGUGACCUGAGAUUGGGGAUGGGGGGGUGUUGUUAUUGUUUGUUUCGGUUUUGGUUUGGUUUUUGUCUCUGACGUUCAGAUUUGUUCUACAUCAAGAAAUGAUAGACUGGCCAGAUGGCUCAGUGGGUAAACACACUUGCCACCAACCUCAUGAACGAUGUCAACCCCCAAGACUUACGUGGUGGAAAGAGAAACAGACUCUUUCAAGUUGCCCUCUGACCUCCACAUCCAUACAGUAGGACAUGGGCUCACGUAUGCUCAAAUAAGUAAGUAGAAAUAAAUUUAAAUUCAGCUACUGAAGUUCCAUAGUUAUAUGUGGGUUUAACUUAUCUGUGACAUUCUGCACAAUGUGAAGUUAGUAUCUUUCUUUUCUGGUACUUGUGUUUGUUUCGGGUAAUAGAAUGUUCUCUUACCAUUUAAGAAGCAUAAGUAACAUUCCCACACUGUAGACACUUAGAAAACUUUUGCUGAAGUUCAAUACUAAAUAGGUAGGUUUAGUUGCCUGCUUUUGUCUCAAUUCUCCUUUCUGACUUAAUAAAGAUUUAAAGGCCAUGUUUACUAAUGGCACAUUGCAAUCUGAUCGGGAUAUUCUGUGAAGGAUUCCCCUUCAGUCACCAAACAAAUCAGGACCAUUUAGGUUUCAUGUAAACACCAGGAUGUUGAUAAUAACCUAUUAGAAAAGUCGUUUGGAAGGAAUUGUUUUCGGACUUUUUUUGGUUCGCCUUGAACAGACCCGACUGUUUGCGUGGGUGCCCGACACAAGUGGUUCUCAUGCGCCAUCUAGUGGCUGCUGUGAAACUGUGCCGUGUCAUGGGAAAACCUUUCUGAACAAGCCUUACUGCUGCGAAUUCCUGUCCCGGUCGGUCCCGCAGCCACUGGACACUUGCCCAUCUUUCAGCCUUUAAAUUGAGAGGAACCACUGAAGAACUCAUGCAGUGUUUCCUCAAAGCCCCGUGUCCUUGGGAACAACCAAGAUGUAAUCGGUCAGAGAAAUGGUUUCUUCCCGGAUCCAUAUGAGUCAAACUGUUGUGUGACUGGAGAUACUCGUGCCUGCAGAGUUGUGACAAGCAAGCCCUCCUCCCUGCUCCCUGUCUGAAAGGUCUACAUAUUCCAUGAAUCCUUGUGGGAGCCUGACUCUUAUAAGGUGUCAAGUUGGGGGCUGUGGUCAGAAUCACACAAUGCAAAACUGUCUAACUAAAGGACAGGAAGAAGAGUUUAGGUGUUUCAGAAGAUUGAAGGAUUGGAGACAACAUUUUGUUUAAGAUGCUGAUUUUGACACUCACUGUUGCCGGGUCCAGCUUGAAGCAGGGAAUUUUUUUUUGUUGUUGUUGAUAGAAGGGAAUAUGGGGGAUUCUUGCUGGGUUUGGAGAGAGUACUUGAUUGCUGAUUAAAAUCUGCAUCGCUAAUGCAAACCUGAACCUUUCAGGAAGCAGGCUGUGAGAAGUCCUAA